UACGUAGGUGGCAAGCGUUGUCCGGAAUUAUUGGGCGUAAAGCGCGCGCAGGUGGUUUCUUAAGUCUGAUGUGAAAGCCCACGGCUCAACCGUGGAGGGUCAUUGGAAACUGGGGAACUUGAGUGCAGAAGAGGAAAGUGGAAUUCCAAGUGUAGCGGUGAAAUGCGUAGAGAUUUGGAGGAACACCAGUGGCGAAGGCGACUUUCUGGUCUGUAACUGACACUGAGGCGCGAGAGCGUGGGGAGCGAACAGG
rnacentral:rRNA from 1 species